rnacentral:rRNA from 1 species
UACAGAGGGUGCUAGCGUUGUUCGGAAUCAUUGGGCGUAAAGGGCGUGUAGGCGGUUUGUUAAGUCAUGUGUGAAAUCCCUCGGCUCAACCGGGGAACGACGCAUGAAACUGGCAAGCUAGAGUACCAAAGAGGGGGGUGGAAUUCCGCGUGUAGCAGUGAAAUGCGUAGAGAUGCGGAGGAACACCGAUGGCGAAGGCAGCCCCCUGGGCUAACACUGACGCUCAUGCACGAAAGCGUGGGGAGCAAACAGG